rnacentral:lncRNA from 1 species
UGUCCUUGUAAGAAGAGAAGAGACUCACACAGACACACAGGGAGAAGGCCGUACGACGACCAAGGCAGAGAGAGCAGUGACGUCCCUACAAGCAAGGAACACCAAGCAUUGCCACCACCCCCACAAGCUAAGGGACAGGCAUGGACAGAUUCUCCCCUGGAGCCUUCAGAUGCCCUGCUGCCAUCUUGAUUCUGGACGUGUGGCCUCCAGAACCGUGAGAGAAUCCAAGAGAGGCUUUCAAAGCUUACGGUGGAGGAGAAAUGGCUUGUUUGAGAUGAGGAAAGAGGCGGAACAAGGGAAGUAACUUGCCUGAGGUCACAUGGCUUGUCAGUGUCACAGGGCAAGAUUCCAUUCCAGGACUCCCGGAUUCCAGCAUCUCUGCUCCUAACCAGCCAAUCCUUGCUGUCUUCUCCUGCUGGCACGGACUCUGCUAAGAAACAGAAGGUUCAAGAUGGCGACACAGGAAGAUCCUGAACUCACCUCCCCCACAGACACACUGAAUCUACAGCUGCAUAUGGAGCAAUUUCCUCUCAAAAAAACCCUAAAAUCUAGUGGAAAGACUCCUUCGUAUUAGGGAAGUGAGAAAACAAAAAACAAAAAAACAUUGAUGCGAGUAGGAAAGGCUGAGAUAGUCUCACCAUAACCCGCCCUCCCCCCCAGCCACACACAGUGACCCAUAGCCCGAGUGAUCUUAAAACCCAGAGCUUCUCCCCGAGGAACGAAAGGUUUGUACUCCACAUCGGGCACCCCAGCUUUUAAGACCUGCACCUGAGAGAUGCGCCCCCAACACAUCCAGCUUUGAAAAGCAACAGGGCUUGGGCCCAAAAGACCCACAGGGCUGGAGAAACAUCGCUCAAAGGACUCGCUCACCCCGGGGGCCCAGUGCAGAAGCAGCCCUUGGAAAGUGCCCGACUUCCCGUGCUGGAGGUUCAUUCCUAGUUUUCAGGCCUCGGUCUCCAGGGCCCGGAGCUGGUGAGCGCCAUCUUCACCCUCUCCCUAGGCAUUGCUAGAGCCUGCGCCCCCCUCAUUUUUUUUUUUUUUUUUUUUUUUUUGACUCUAGAAGUUUUUCCCCGCAGCGGGCACCAUUUUCCUGCUCUGUCUUGCUAAAGCUGGUGGGCACCGGCUUUUCCUGUCUUUGCUUUUCUCGGCGAUGCCAUAUUUGCGCCCCGCCCCCGCCUCCCCCCAGCCACGCCAUCUUCCGCUCUCCUACUGCGCUCAAAGCGCCAUUGUCUCCUGGAAGGGAGUUUCUACAUGCGUCUGGUGUUCUGGAUUUUACCCGUGGUGACCCAGUUUUGGUGGCUACAGCCCAGGGGAAGUCCCUUGAUCGCCAGGCUCUGAAGGCCAGAGGGGCUUGCUUUCCUGGGUCCCAUGGGACUGUGACAAACGGAGAGACAGUUCUCAGCAGGCGACACCCCCAGGGCACUGCACAGAUAGAGGCUGAAACACCCCCCAUCUUUCUGGGAAAGAGGCCUAUGCGCAUGUCCAGG